rnacentral:rRNA from 1 species
UUAUACCUAUUCGAAGGGAUAGGGUCGGUUCGGCCGGGUUUCACACAGGUGUUGCAUGGCUGUCGUCAGCUCGUGUCGUGAGAUGUUGGGUUAAGUCCCGCAACGAGCGCAACCCUCAUCCUUAGUUACCAUCAGGUAAUGCUGGGGACUUUAAGGAGACUGCCAGUGAUAAACUGGAGGAAGGUGGGGAUGAUGUCAAGUCAUCAUGGCCCUUAUGGAGUGGGCUACACACGUGCUACAAUGGUGGCUACAAUGGGCUGCAAAGUCGCGAGGCUAAGCCAAUCCCUUAAAAGCCAUCUCAGUUCGGAUUGUACUCUGCAACUCGAGUGCAUGAAGUUGGAAUCGCUAGUAAUCGUGGAUCAGCACGCCACGGUGAAUACGUUCUCGGGUCUUGUACACACUGCCCGUCACGCCAUGGGAAUUGGUUUCACUCGAAG